rnacentral:lncRNA from 1 species
UAUUUUUCUUACUAAAAUGUGUAUACAAGUUCAAAAUGAAACAGUUUCUAAUAUUAUAAAAAAUUAAAAACAAAUAAUAUGUUAAAUUCAGCACAAAUAUGAAUAUGAGGUAAAUAAGGGUGUGUUUUCACUGAAUUAUGAACAAGUUGUUGAUUGCAGCCAAAAGAAAAUACAUGCGAAGAAGGGUCACGGGAAGGACAGUAGAUGCGGGCUGAAGGAAUGAAGAUGCAUGUAGAAGAACGGUCCUGAGAAACAUAAUAACACUAUUAAGUUUAUAGAAACAUAAAAAAAAAGAGUAAGAAAAUGAAUAGAUAUGAAUAUAUUUAAAUUUUUAUUGUUUUAGAUAAACUUUAUUAAAUUUAAAAUAAAUAACAAAAACAAACCGAUAUAAAAUAUAUUACUUUUUCUUAAUUUUUUUAAUAUUUAAUAUUUUAUUUUUUAAAAAUAAUAAUAAGAAUAGGUAUACUCAAAAUCCAACUUCAAUGUUUAAAAAAAAAAUAGAAAUCAUAAUUUUAAGAACCUGGUUAUUAAUUUGUUUUCCUUACUUUUUUCUGUCCAUCUGUAUUUAUUUCACCUACUUCCUAUUACUGUUUUUUAAAUAAGAAAAUGAGGAGAAAUACAUGACUUUCACCAAGUGAUAAAGUUUCUUAUUUUCUAAUGUGCAUAUAAGUUUAAUAUCACUCAGUUUCUAAUAUUAUUAAAAAAUCAAAAAUAAAUAAUGUCUUAAAUUAUAGAUUUUAGUUUUAUAUAUUUUUAAUUAAUUUAGAAUCAAUAAUUUUCAUAUUUUUUUCAAGAAAAAAAUAUCCCUAAACAUUAUAAACAAUGAAUCUAAUCUAACAUCGAAAUAAAUAAAUAAAUUUCAAUUUAAAAUGUAAAAGUAAAAUCAAAGUCCAGUAUUAUCUACUGUAAAAUAUUAUAAUAGCAAAACUAAAACAAAUAUAAUUUUCUUUACUAUUAAGAAUAUUUUCAAUUAAAAAUUAAUUUUACAUGAUUUUUAUGUCUUAAUAUAUGCACCAUAUUUAGUUUUUUAGUACCCAAUAAUACUUUUAAAAAUAUCUUUUAAAUUAUAUGUUUUGAUCUAAGUUUUUUUUAUGUGUGAAUUUUACAACUCAUAUAUCUAUUAAUUUCCUGGUGACAUAAUAUAUUGCAAAAAUAUUAAAAAUUAUUGAUUUUAUAAAAAAAAGUUAAUAUAUUAAAAGAUAAAUUUAAAAAUACAUAAAUAUUAAUUAAAAUAAUAAUUAAUAUUUAAAAUCUUAGUAAUUAAUUAAAAAUUAAUUUAAAAAUUAGUUAUCAAUAAUAAAAAUUAAUUUAGAUAUCAACAAUAUUUUUAGUAUCUAAAAUAAUUUAUAAUGUAGUCAAUAUUGUAAUUAAUUAUUUUUUCUCUCUAAAAUAAGUUUUUAUUUAAUUAUUUUCUUGUGAUAAUAGUAAAAAUUUAAUAUAAAUAAAUAUUUUUCAAAAAAUUUAUAGUUUAAUUUAAAGUUGGAAAUAAAUAUUAUUAUUUUUAUAAUAUUUUGAAGUAUGAUUUAAUUUGAACAUAUAUUUUAAAAUAAAAUAAAUUAAGAUUUAAAAUAUAUUAAAAGAUGUAAUAAUUACCAAAACUAUAAUAUUUAUAUAAAAAAAUGGAAACAUAAACUAUUUUAAUAAAAAACUACAACUACCAACAAAUCUUUUGAAAAGUUAAAAGGAAGAUGAUCUUAAUAUAAACCCCAGUAAGGAUGAUACUCUUCUUUUGUAAGGCAUGUCCACAAAAUAUAAUGGUGAUUAAAUCUAUAUUAUGUUACUUUAAAUUGGUUUUUGGUUUUAAGGUCAAUUUUUCUAAGAGCAGGAAUGGUGGGGUGGGUAUAAGUCAAUCUCAAUUACGACUCUACUCGUCUGUUUUAAACUGCGAGAUUAUGAAUGCCUCAUUCAAGUAUUUGGGUAUGGAGUGGUAUAGAAAGGGAAGUUUUUAUCUAUGGUUGAUAGAGUUUGUAUGUUGAGGUCAGUUAUUUCUUCCAUUUCCUUGUUUUAUAUGUCUUUCUUCAAGAUGUCAUUGUCUGUGGUUCUCUCUAUUAAGAAAAUACAGAGGAAUUUCAUGUGGGGUUGAGGGAAGGAUGUCAAGAAGGUAACUUGGGUGGUGUGGGAGAAGGUGUGCAAUUCUAGAGAGAAAGGUGGUUUGGGUAUAAGAUAUAAGGCGUUUUAAUGAUGCGCUUUUAGGGAAAUGGAUUUGGCGUCUUUAGUUUGUAGAGGGUGGGUUGUUGAAAGAGAAGUCUAAAUACGACAACUGGAUAGAAUUGUGAGUGGUUGAGAGUAAUUAUAAGGAUUCGCUUUGGUGGAAUGACCUGAAGAAAGUUUGGGCGUCGGAGGAGUAGGGGACUAACUUUAAGGAUAAUAUUGCUUGGAGGCUGUGAUGGGAAUCAAAUUAGAUUUUGGGAAGAUAAUUGAUUGGAAACGAGGCUUUAAAUGUAAGAUUUCCAAGGCUUUACUCAAUUACUAAGGAUAAAAGUGUUGUUGUGUCAAGAGCUGGGGGUUGGGUCAAUAACAAGUGAUCUUGGAAGGCGGAGUGGAGGCGUACCCUUUUUUGCGUGGGAAGUGGAUGAGGAAACCUGUUUAAUGUUUCUAUUUGAGGACAAGGCUUUAUCUUUAGGGGUUAUGGAUAAAUGGGUUUGGAAGUUGGACGAAAUUUUUGGUUACUCUGUUAGUUCAGCACCGUACAUUAGGUUAAGGUUGGCUGAGGAAGGUACAUAUGUUUCUAUUUAUGAGGCUUUUGGAGUCUUAAGGUGUUACCCUCGUCAAUGACUACUGUUUGGAAAGUCUUGGCUGAUAGGUUACCAACACAUGUGAACUUGGAGAAAAGAGGGAUUGAUCUGGAAAGCAGUAUGUGUUUCUUGUGCAGGGAAGAGAAGGAAUUUGGGAGUCAUAUUUUUUUCAAAUGCAAGGUAGCUUGGAAGGUAUGGAGUUUGUGCAGUAAGUGGGUUGGGGAGGCCUUCGUAUACCAUUGGAAUGCUUGUUCCCAUUUUAAUCAGUUUUAUCUUGGUUGGGCUUCUCAGAAGAUUAAUAGAUAUUGGGGGAGUAUGUGGAUUGCUGUGAUUGGGGAAAUUUGGAAACAGAGGAACCUCAUCAUCUUUAAGAAUGGUAGAGUGGAUUGUUUGAAGAUCUUCACCUUGGCCUAACUCAAAGUGUAUGUGAAUUGUUGUGAUUGGGGAAAUUUGGAAACAGAGGAACCUCAUCAUCUUUAAGAAUGGUUUAGUGGAUUGUUUGAAGAUUUUCACAUUGGCCCAACUCAAUGUGUAUGGCUCACGAGUAGAGUAAACAGUGUUUCGUUUACUUAUGCCCAAUGGUGUUUGGACCCAUUGGUUUGUUUGAAGUCUAAUUAAAAAAUAAGGGUGGAGUUGGAGGUCUUUGUGGGUGUGUUGGUCUUUUGUCAACAAAGGACUUUGGUAUGUGUUGCAAGUUCUUGAGUUGUUUCCGGAGUUAUGAAGGAUUGAAGUUUGUUUUUUCUUUCCCUUAUAUUAUUUUACUUUGCUUCUUUUGGGUGGAAGGACUUGAUAGGUUUUUUCUUAGGCAUGUAUGCAGUGUUGCUGGUUUGAUCGGUUUGGUAUUUUCGGAGGCUUGUAUUUUCUGGCCGUUUGUCUACUAUCUCAAGAGACUCCAAAAUUCUGAACUCAAGAGAUUCGUUUUAUUGUCAAAAGUAUUUCUUUCAUUUAUUCAUAUUUCUUGACAUGUAACACGUUUAAAGACAUAUAACUUAGGACAUAUAAAUUAAAAAUAAUAUUUUCUUAACUUUUAAAAGAUUAAAAUCAUUUUUGUGGUUAUGUCUUGUUUUUAACAGGAAACAAAUUCAGAUUACAUAUAGUUUGUUUUAUACUUUCCCAUACAUAAUUCUUAAUACAAACAAAAGUUAAAUAAAAAGGAAAAGAAGUAAAAAAACACAGUACUUUUGUAAUUAAGUGUGAUAAAUUUUGGCAUUUUUAUAGUAUAUUUUCUUAGCGAUGAGAAAAUAUUUAUACAAGUUAGAUGAGAAAAUAUGUUUGCAAGAUAAAAUGUUAGAUGUCUCAUGUCAUCUAACUAAUUUUGAAAUAUAAAUCAUAUAUCUAUUUGACAAAUAUAUAUUAAUUUAUUUUAAAGCCAACGUGUUAAAUUGUACACAUAUGUCAGUAUUUUUUAAGUAUUUUGGGUUUCAAGUUGGAGACAAUCUGAGAAAGAGAAAGUUUUGGAAAGAAGUCCUCAAUAAAGUAAGGAAGAAAUUAUCAAAAUGGAAAGGCAAGAACUUAAUUUUUGCAGGAAAAGUAUGUCUGAUCAAGUCUGUCUUCACAAUUGUACCUCUGUAUUAUAUGUCCAUCUUUAAAGCCCCAAUGGAGGUAUGUAAAGACCUAACAAGAUUGUAAAGGAGAUUUUUGUGGGGAUGAGGUAGCGAGAAAAGGAAGAUUGCUUGGGUAAAAUGAGAAAACAUCUGUAAACCAAAGAUUGAGGGAGGCUUGGGCGAUUAAAGAUAUUAGAAGUUUCAAUAUGGCGCUCCUUGCCAAAUGAAUGUGGAGGUUGAAAGUUGACGUAUCUGGGGUGUGUAGAGAAGUAGUUUUGUCCAAAUAUUCUAUCUACAGAAAUACUAGAAGAACUUCUUCAAGCACAACACAAUCCUAGUGGUGGAGGAACUUGUGCAAUCUUUAUGAAGAAUGUAAAGAAACUAGUUAUACAAACAAUUAGCUUGGAAAUUGGGGCCAUUAGAUAAAGUCCUUUUUGGGAAAGACAAAUGAAUUGGUGAUUACACACUGAAACAAAAGUACCCUUUUGCAUGGGGGUAUGAACAACAGUCCCAACUCCUAACAGACUUGAACAACCUCAAACCCCAUAAAGACUCUCAUGAUAAUGUUGUUUGGUUAGUUCAGGAGGAUGGUUUAUUCUCUGUCAAAUCCACUUUAUGAAGUUCUACAGUCUUUCGAACAUCUUGAGCCAUGUCUAGCCAUGAAAACUUUAUGGGACACCAAAGUCCUACCAAAUGCUUUAUCCUUAGCUUGAAGAAUUCUCAAAUGCAAGAUUCUGACUAGAUUGAAUCUCUAUAGAAGAGGCCUCCCUUCUUUAUUAUGCCCUUUUUAUAAUCAGGUAGAAGAAUUGACUCAACAUAUCUUUGUGGAAUGUGCGAUAGCUUAUGAGGUAUGGUCGCAAGUUUCUAGGUGGGUGAGAAUUAAGUCAGUUUUUCAUAAUGACCUUAAACAUCUGCUACAAUUUUACCAGUUUCAAUUCAACUCUAAAAGAAAUAGAGUCUGGAUGAAAAGGUGUUUGGGUGACAAUUUUAUGGAGCAUUUGGAACCAAAGGAAUGGGGUCGUCUUUAGAGGGGGAAGGGUGGAUGUUGACGAAAUAAUUAACCUAGCACAAUAACAAGUUUGAUGUUGGUUGAAGAGGAAAAUAACUAGUUUUAGUUUUUCCUAUUCAAAUUAGGUUCUUUACCCCUUGAACGACUUGUUCUCAGUUAGGUUUUUGUUAUAGUAACACUAAGACCUAAAAACUACGAGAGAUAAAAUUUUAAGAAAAGGGAAAAACUCUCAUUCAUUCAUUGCACUCAUAUUAAAAUAGGGUUUGGGAAAGGUCACAAUGGGCCUUCCCUUUAAGUCACAUUACAUUAAAACUGAAAACAAUUAAAUUGAACAUCCUUUAGCCCAUUAAACCAAAAAGUCUUUCAUCCAUCUAGGUUUAUUAAUCUGACGUUUGGGCCUGUUGAUGUUGUUGGACCCUGGUGUAACAUUACCAUCCGCUAGUUGAGGCACUUUGUCCUCAAAGUGAGUCUGAUGUCCUUUUUGGGUUAAGUGGGGUUGUUGGGCUGAUUGGUUGGGCUUGGUUGUUAUAGGAAUUUGGUGAAUGUGUGGGAUUAAAGGUUUGGACAUAGGUGCAAGUAUUGUUGGACCCGGGUUAGGGUUUUCUACAUUUUGGGUAUUAAGGGGAGUUGGUGAGGCACAAGGCUUGAGGGGUACUAUUGUGGUUUAUGGUAUUUGGUUUGAGGACAUGAGAUAAUGGAUUAUUAUGAGGAGUGGGUGAGGCACGGGUUUCUAGGGGUGGGCCAGUGGGAUUUAAUAGAUUAGGUGCAAUGGCAUGCAUGCAAGAGUUAUGAAUGAGGUUAAGUGUAGUUAGGGAUUUAUGAAGAUUAGGUGAAAUGUGGGGCUCAAGACUUGGACAUUUUGAAAAAGUUGGGAUUAGAUGUGUUGGCGUAUUUUGAUUGGGCGGCAAGGACGGUGUAGUCAGAGGGUCAUGUGCGGUUUGUAUUGGGGAACUUAAGGGAGUAGUCGAGUUAAUGUUCGUGAUGGAGUUUGGGUGUGGGGAAGGAUAUGGUGUUGGUCCUCUGAAAAGCCGAAGAAGUGAGACGUGAAACACUAGGUGGAUGCAAGAUGAGGUAGGUAACCUGAGCUCAUACGCAACGGUGCCUAUGCGGGGGCUUAUUUGGUAUGGUCCCGAGUAACGAGGAGAUAAUUUUUGACAGGGUCGACGUUCCACAGAUUGUUGGCGGUAUGGCUGGAGGCGAACCCAGACCCAAUCAUCUAUGUUGAACGUGCGGUCCAAACGGUACCAAUUUUCCUAGUCGCACAUGCGUUGGCGAGUUCUGCGAAGCUUAAGUUUGAGAGCAUGCAACACUAAGGUAUGCUGGUGUAGCAGAUCCGAGAUGGUGGUGUUGAGGCGAGGCGUGUGCAACAAAUCAAGGAUGGUGGGAGGUGGACGACCGUAUAGACCAUGGAAGGGGGAGGUGCCUAUAGCUGAGUGAUGCGUCGUAUUGUGCCAUAACUCUGGGAGGUGGAGGUAAUGGUACCAUGUGUGCGGGUGGUCCUCCGUGAAACAUCGCUGGUAAGCUUCGAGCCCUCUAUUUAAAACAUCUGUUUGCCCAUCCGUUUGUGGGUGAUAGACAGAGCUAAACUUUAAUGUUGUACCAUGGACUUUGAAUAGUUAUCUCCAAAACGUGCUAACAAAGACUGGAUCUCGAUCUGAGACGAUGGUUUUUGGCAUUCCAUGAAGGCGGAAGAUCUCCACAGCAAAGCGCCUUGCGAGUUGUUGCGUCGUGAAGUGCGUGGGAAGAGCCAGAAAAUGGGUGUACUUGGUGAGGCGGUCACAGAUGACCCAAACUGAUGGAGAUCAAGCUCAAGUGGACAUGGAGGCCAAUCAACAAGAUCAAGAAGAGGUAGAGGCUCAAAUGGAGGACGCCCAUGGAGGUCAAAGCCCACCUCAAAGGCUUACAAGAAGCAUGUUCAAAGCUUUAGGAGCUAGGGGACAAUUAUUUUCUCUUUUUGUAAUUUCUUUGGUUGAAGGUGCUUAGAGGGAAACAUUAGAAAUCUCUAUUGUUAAAGCAUGUUUUAGUCUUUAGUUAGGAGCUUUAGGAAGGGGGGUGCGUUAGUAGAUAGGUGUAGGAGUAAAUAAGGAGGUGCCAAAGUGAAGGAAGAGGUCACACCUUCCUCAUGCAUGGGUUUAGGCGCCGGUUCUAGUAGCUUUUAGGAGGGAAUUUUGAAUUCUUUUAGUUUGUUUUUCAGCACCUCUAGGCUAUAAAUAUAGGUGUUUCCCUUGUACAUUUCAGAUUUGAAUUUUAAUUAGAGAAACUAUACUCAAAUUUUGAGAGAGCAUUGGAGAGCUUUGAGCCUUCUUCUCUAGUCUUAUCUUGAUGGUUCCAUGGUUACCUCAAGUGGCGGCUUGCACACUCAUCUAGGAGCAUCCAUCCUUCUAGUGGCGUGAUCAUCUAACCAUACAUCCAUCUUCAUGAGCUUUCUCCUCUCCUUCCUUCCUUCUCUUUUGUUAUUCAUGUUUUAAGCUUGUGUUCUUGAGUUUUGGUUCGGUUAUUUGCUUUUUCCAGCAGCUGUUCUUCUUCUUCUUUGUGUUUGGUUCGGUGCCUUUUAAUUUCCAGCACUCCUUUUCAGUUUUCUUGCCUUUUAAUUCAGUUUGUUUGGUUCAUAGUUGUUCUUAUUCAAUUCUAUUCGGUGCUUUUGUUUUUUUUAUCUCUUUUUGGUGGUUCAAUUUGACAAUAUGUGGAACUUCCAAAUGAGUUUGGAUUUGGUGCUAGUUUUGGUGAGUUCUUGACUUAGAACAUUGAUCCAAUUCUAAGAAAAAGUGUCUAACUAUUGUCCAACUUAAGUUGAUUCCUAAGAAUGUCAAGAAUCAUUCUCUUCUUUGCUAUUGGAAUCACAUCACAAACCAUUGUGUGACCUGCAGAGGAAGGUAAGUGAGUUAUGAAAUCCAUAGACAAAUCUUCUCAUAUUUGUGCUAGUGUCGAUGGAGGUUGAAGUAACCCUUGAAUUUUUUUUGGCAUGUAUUUAUUUCUUUGACAAGUGACACACUGCUGGAGAAAUUGUUUCACAUCCUGCGUCCAUCCCGGCCAAUAAAACGAGGCAGCAAUUCGGGCGAGGGUAGGCUUGAGGCUAGAAUGACCAUUUGUUGGGGACUCAUGCAUUUCAUGGAGGAUCUUUUCUCUAAAUUUAUAGGACGCUGAAAGGAACAGUUGGUGUCGAGAAAACAACAUCCCAUUGCAGACUGAGAACAAAUUGGGUUGUUGUUGAUCGUGGGUGCAAGAUUGGAUUAACUGGGCACCUUCCGAGGUUUUGAAGAACUGUUGUAACUCUUGAAAUAAGAUGGGGAUCGGCGAAGACAAAGCGAACAACAAUGAAGGUGUUGGUGUUCCUUAGUAUCAAAACUUUAAUAUUUAUAUAAACAAUUUAAUAGAUAAAAUAGUUAUCACUAAUGAAAUAAAAAUAAAAAUGAUUAGUUUUUUUUUUCUCGGUUUCUCUUAUCAUAUUCAGAACACUCAAUCUUACCUAUCUUCUCAAAUUAAAAAAACUAGUAUCUUAAGUAUAAUAGCAUCAUUAUUCAUAAUUGAUUGAAGAAUUUUGAGAAUUACCUGGUAACCGAUCAACAUAUAGAUUAUUAUUAUUGUAACUUUUCAACUUCCUAGAUGUUUUGUUAGCAACAUCACAAGCACUCUCUUCUUUAUGAAUAAAAAAACAAAUGUCAAUUUUUAAAAAUAUAAAAUUAUUAAUAUUUACAAUAUAAAUCACCAAUACAUUAAUCUUUUUAGAAACUCAUAUUAAAUCUAAAUGUUUUAUUUAAAAUUUAUUUUAUUAUUAAAGUAAAAUGAGAGUAAAUAAUAAGAGAUGUUCAUUAAAAGAUACAUUAAAUCCCUUAUUAAUUACACUAAAAAAUAUAUUUACUUUGAAAAUUGAGUUAUUUUCCAAAAUAAUUACAAAAAUAAAGUCAUAUAAACAUUAUAUCUCAUUAUUUAGAUGUAUGGAGAAUAUCAUAAUAUUAUGCCAAAAAAUUGUAGCUAUAUGAAACUAAGACAUCAAGGUAAGAAACAUUAGUCAUUAACAAUAUCUUAAGAAAUAGACUACUUACAAAAUUUUAUAUUGUAAGGACAGAAAUGAAAUGUUUGUUUUCUUGAAAAACACUUUCCAAGUGUGUAUCUUAAAAUAUGUCUUUUGAGUGUUAUUCAACAAAUAUAUAAAUUUAUAGAGUAAAAAAUAAACUGUACUGGACAAAUGUAUUAAAUAUUUUAAAACACUCGUACAUUAAAUAUAAAUUUAAAAAUAACUUUUACUUAAAAAAUUUCCUAAGAUUAAUUUAAAAUGGAAGUAAAUAAGAGAAGAUACAUAUAUUUACUUUCUUAAAGUGGCAUUCCAAUGCAAAAGAAUAGUCAUUAAAAUAUUAUAACUCACCAUUCAUAUCCUUUCAUAUCCAUAAAAAAGAUUAAAAUAUAUUGUCUCAUAUCUGUAGCUGCUGCACACGAGAAACACAAGAACAUCAAACUCGCAAUCACACCAAAUGUUUAUCAUGGAAACAAACAUGCAUGCAUAAAUUAUCUCUAUUAUUAAAAAUAAAAUAAAAUUAAAAUGUAAUAUUUGUAAUGUAAAUUUUAAUUUAUUUUCAUAAUUUAUGGUGAAGAGGAGAAAUAGUUUAUGAACACUAUUUUGAAAGCAGUUCGAAGCAUUUGCAUGCAAAUGAAAAAAAUUUCAAUAAUGUCAAAGUUUGCUCAUUUAAAUUAUAAAUAUUUUAAUUAGUCUAAACCCAGACUGAAAUAAACCAUAAAUUACUUCUUGCAAACAGAUUCUGGUUGAACCAGUAUGAAUGGGAAGAAAAAAAAAAUACCAGAAAAAAUUAGUUGUCAUGCACAAAUAUAAAUCCAGAUAAAUAAGCAUGAGCUGUUGUUAAUCUCUUCGUGAAGAAGAGCAAAAGAAAGAAGAUGAAAAUACAGAAUAGUCAAGGGAACACUGAAGAGAGUUACAGAAUAGUCUAUACGUUUAUUAUUUUGUUUUCCCUUUUUAAUAAUAAAGUUUGUCUUUAAAAGGAUGCAAAGUCAUUAAAAUCAGAUCUAGUUAAUUGAUAAAGAAUAAGAAAAAGGAAAAGAAAAUAUCAUGUAAAAUUCAAAAUCAGAUCUAGUUAAUUGAUAAAGAAUAAGAAAAAGGAAAAGGAAAUACAAUGUAAAAUUCAGAGUGAACUAAACUAUUAAGGUAGAAGCAGCAAUGAGAGAAGAUCGUGACUCAACCUGCAUAGGUUCUCCCUUUUUUAUAAUACCGAACUUAGAAGUUUCUAGAAGUUUCAAAGGUUAAGAUUAGAUCUUUCUUGAUCCAGAUAAAAGAGAAAAAAAAAAUCAGUUUCAAAUGAGUAUAAGAAAAAUAUCAUGGAAAGCGGUUGCAAUCCAUGCAGCUAUGGAUGAAGGUAAGCGAAAACUAACCGAGUUGAUAGCUGAGUAGGAACGAGUUAAACGACUCAGAAGAACCAGUCGUGACAGAAGAAGAAAAUAAUUCCACUAAAGAUGCGUCCUGU